UACGGUAGGUGCGAGCGUUGUCCGGAAUUAUUGGGCGUAAAGAGCUCGUAGGCGGUCUGUCGCGUCGAUCGUGAAAACUUGGGGCUUAACCCUGAGCUUGCGGUCGAUACGGGCAUGACUGGAGUUCGGCAGGGGAGACUGGAAUUCCUGGUGUAGCGGUGAAAUGCGCAGAUAUCAGGAGGAACACCGGUGGCGAAGGCGGGUCUCUGGGCCGAUACUGACGCUGAGGAGCGAAAGCGUGGGGAGCGAACAGG
rnacentral:rRNA from 1 species